GGCCGUGACCCGGGACACCGGGACCGCAGGGGUCCGGUUGGUCCGCCGGCACACCGCUGACCGUGAGAUCGGUCCACCUGACGGCUGAACACCGCCCUGAUAUCCACAAAAAUCCCAAUUGUGAUAAGCCAAUUGUGCAGGAGCGUGACAUUGUCGAAAGAAACAAAAUUGCAACAACAGAAGACGGCUGCUUCGGCUGAAUCAAAAUUUUGCAGGGGAUGAGAUAGAGAAAAGAGGGUUUGCAGUCUUGGGAAAGGCUUCAAGAGCUUCAAAUUCAGAUAUCUUAAAUACGCAUUGCUCAAUGAUCAUAUUCUACAUCAAUUCCAUUGUAAUUUAUCUGUCCAUUUCUAGCGCGUUGUCGCGUGGUUUUCCAUACUGGCAUAGCUCGUCAUGAGGCUCCUCCUCCGCUCUCUGCCAAUCGGAGAACUCUUCCCCUCCGCCAGCCAAUGACAGGGCCGGUCACGUGAUGGCCCGGGGCGCCGCAGGUCACCAGGGCACCAGACACCGGGGUCAGGCCGUAGAUCUCGGACUCCGCGGCGACCGGUUGGAGCAGAGUGGAGCAGCCUAAUUGUCCUCUGAGGUUCUGUUGGGAAUAUUCAUAUUGGCCGGCAGCCAUGCGUCUGUUCUCGCCCGUUCUGCUGGUGGUGUUGCUGCUUCUCGGCACGGUUGCCAUGGUUACCGGCGGACACAGGAGUAGCCACCACGGCCGCAAGCACGGCGGCCACGGACAUCACGGCAGCAAGCACCACGGUCACCAUCGCGGCCACGGACACCACUGAUGUCAGUCGGGACCUCGGCCCGGUGCCUGCGACUUUACUUCGCGGGGGACGAACGGUGAUGCGGCCGCGUGGCUAGGACUGCACGCUCACUCUGGGUGAAGAGUUGAUGCGGUUGUGCCUGGUGUUUUACAGAUGCUUGGUGCAGUUACAGGGAGAGUGACUGAUGGUUUUAACGGCCGUCAUAUUGUAAAAGGCAUGCUUCACUGUGCGAAAAAGAAAGUGUUUUGGCCUAAGCGUGCUGCCGCGAGCGUCUGUGUUGCGUCUGUGUUUUUAGCAUUAUUGAAGACAUGCGAACACUAUUUUAUUGCCUUGUCGAAUAUUUUUGUGUCUGGCAUAUGAACCUACAAAAUGAGUUUUAAUUCAGAUCCACUGUCUUAAUAUUUACCGAAAUAAUGCCUGAAGCAAAUAAACUUCUGCCAGCAUUCGC